UACGUAGGGGGCAAGCGUUGUCCGGAAUCAUUGGGCGUAAAGCGCGUGUAGGCGGUUCGAUAAGUCUGCUGUGAAAGUCCAGGGCUCAACCCUGGGAUGCCGGUGGAUACUGUCGGGCUAGAGUACGGAAGAGGCGAGUGGAAUUCCCGGUGUAGCGGUGAAAUGCGCAGAUAUCAGGAGGAACACCGGUGGCGAAGGCGGGUCUCUGGGCAACUACUGACGCUGAGGAGCGAAAGCGUGGGGAGCGAACAGG
rnacentral:rRNA from 1 species